GCGUGGAUAGCUCAGUGGUAGAGCGGCUCGUUUACACCGAGUUGGUCGGGGGUUCGAAUCCCUCUCCGUGUA
rnacentral:tRNA from 1 species